GACGAACGCUGGCGGCGUGCCUAAUACAUGCAAGUUGAGCGCUGAAGGUUGGUACUUGUACCAACUGGAUGAGCAGCGAACGGGUGAGUAACGCGUGGGGAAUCUGCCUUUGAGCGGGGGACAACAUUUGGAAACGAAUGCUAAUACCGCAUAAAAACUUUAAACACAAGUUUUAAGUUUGAAAGAUGCAAUUGCAUCACUCAAAGAUGAUCCCGCGUUGUAUUAGCUAGUUGGUGAGGUAAAGGCUCACCAAGGCGAUGAUACAUAGCCGACCUGAGAGGGUGAUCGGCCACAUUGGGACUGAGACACGGCCCAAACUCCUACGGGAGGCAGCAGUAGGGAAACUUCGGCAAUGGACGAAAGGCUGACCGAGCAACGCCGCGGGAGUGAAGAAGGUUUUCGGAUCGUAAAACUCUGUUGGUAGAGAAGAACGUUGGUGAGAGUGGAAAGCUCAUCAAGUGACGGUAACUACCCAGAAAGGGACGGCUAACUACGUG
rnacentral:rRNA from 1 species